rnacentral:misc_RNA from 1 species
GAUGAAGAACGCAGCGAAAUGCGAUAAGUAAUGUGAAUUGCAGAUUUCAGUGAAUCAUCGAAUCUUUGAACGCACCUUGCGCCUUGUGGUAUUCCACAAGGCAUGCCCGUUUGAGUAUCAUUAAAUCAUCAACUCUAAAACCUUUGUGGUUUUUUUAGAGCUUGGUCUUGAGGGUUUUGCAGGCUUUUUUUUUUUUUCGAGUCUGCUCCCUUUAAAUGCAUUAGCGAGACUUCCCUAUGCUGAACCGUCUCUUUGACGUGAUAAUUAUCUGCGUCGAAUUUUGGUUCUCGUUGGGCUUGCUUCUAAUCGUCUGUUAAAGACAAAACGGAUUUGGGUGCAUAUAUGCGCCUUUUUCCAAAACCUUUUUUGAUCUCAAAUCGGGUAGGACUACCCGCUGAACUUAAGCAUAUCAAUAAGCGGAGGA